ensembl:lncRNA
CAUUUUAUAGACCAUUUAAUGCAGUGCUAGGCCUAAGUGUUUUUCUAUUGGGUGCUUCUUACUACGUAGUGCCAUGUUGAUUGCAUUUGAAACCAAGUUAGAUAAAUUUAGGUGACAUCAAGGGUUUUCCAAUUAGCCGCGCUGCUCAUCGACUUCAGACGCCAUGGUAACAUGGAGCAUUAAUAGCAGCUGCACCAGAGGACUCCAUCGUGUUAUUAGGGACCAGAGGACUCCAUCGUGUUAUUAGAGACCAGAGGACUCCAUCGUGUUAUUAGAGACCAGAGGACUCCAUCGUGUUAUUACAGACCAGAGGACUCCAUCGUGUUAUUAUGGAGAAGGAGAGAGAGGGAUAGAGAGAUGAACCAGUGGACUCCAUCAUGUUAUUCGAGACCAGAGGACUCCAUCGUGUUAUUAGAGACCAGAGGACUCCAUCGUGUUUUUAGGGACCAGAGGACUCCAUUGUGUUAUUAGAGACCAGAGGACUCCAUCGUGUUAUUAGGGACCAGAGGACUCCAUCAUGUUAUUAGGGACCAGAGGACUCCAUCGUGUUAUUACAGACCAGAGGACUCCAUCGUGUUAUUAGAGAGAAGGAGAGAGAUGGAUAGAGAGAUGCAGCAGUGGCUCGUAUCGUCGUUGAGGGAGAAGACCUUUUAAGUGGUUGGUUAAUGGAAAGUGUUGAUCGUGACUUUCAUCUACUUGCUGUACAUGAGUGGUUUGUGACUCAACCCAUCGUCAGGAUCUUGGAUCAUAGACAGUAGCCUCUAUUCAAACUGCCCAAAAAGAGGGUAGAAAAACAGACAAUAUUCCAUACACUACUUACUGCUUAUAUCUUUCCACCUUUCCUCUCCUGCGCUGUGGCCACAGGGGAUAAGAGAUUAGGGCUGUGGAAUUAUUGACCGAUUCGCUCAGAUGUGUUCCCCUGACUCCGAGUCCGAAUCAGUAGAUUGGCCGUGGCAACAGCCCUCUGUUAGAAGUGAAAAACAGCCUCUGAGAUUCCCCAAAAUUAUAUUUACACAUGGGUUCCCCCUGAGCACAAAGGAUGGCCCAGAACAAGCAGCGCUCGCUUUAGGGGUGCCGUGGGGUCGGAGCCCGGGACCAGAUUUAGGGGUUCCGCAGGGUCGGAGCACGGGACCAGAUAAGACAGGCAGUAAUGGAACUCAACAUGAUUGAUCCAUCUCACUCAAGGUUAAAGUCCAUCUCACAGUUGGC